CUCUUGGACAGGAAACUUUCUUCAUGAAUAUUCGUCCUCUUCUUCAACAAAUACUCAUAAACAUUAUAAUCAUAUUGACCAUGAGGUGGCUUUUGUUUUGGGUUUUCCACAUCAUGCUUAUUUGGAUUUGAUAUUGAACCGAAGAUGUAUAGAACAUUACAAGGUGGAUCAAAAGAGAAUUUUUAAAUCUUCAUUUAGUUCUUUGAGCCUCACAAGUAAAGAAUUCCUGGAAUUGGGAGUGGAAGACUUCAAUCACCGCCAGUUGUUAUUUCG